rnacentral:rRNA from 1 species
UUAAGCGACUAAGCGUACACGGUGGAUGCCCUGGCAGUCAGAGGCGAUGAAGGACGUGCUAAUCUGCGAUAAGCGCCGGUAAGGUGAUAUGAACCGUUAUAACCGGCGAUUUCCGAAUGGGGAAACCCAGUGUGAUUCGUCACACUAUCAUUAACUGAAUCCAUAGGUUAAUGAGGCGAACCGGGGGAACUGAAACAUCUAAGUACCCCGAGGAAAAGAAAUCAACCGAGAUUCCCCCAGUAGCGGCGAGCGAACGGGGAGGAGCCCAGAGCCUGAAUCAGCAUGUGUGUUAGUGGAAGCGUCUGGAAAGGCGCGCGAUACAGGGUGACAGCCCCGUACACAAAAGCGCAUGUGCUGUGAGCUCGAUGAGUAGGGCGGGACACGUGGUAUCCUGUCUGAAUAUGGGGGGACCAUCCUCCAAGGCUAAAUACUCCUGACUGACCGAUAGUGAACCAGUACCGUGAGGGAAAGGCGAAAAGAACCCCGGCGAGGGGAGUGAAAAAGAACCUGAAACCGUGUACGUACAAGCAGUGGGAGCACAGGUUUACCUGUGUGACUGCGUACCUUUUGUAUAAUGGGUCAGCGACUUAUAUUCUGUAGCAAGGUUAACCGAAUAGGGGAGCCGGAGGGAAACCGAGUCUUAAUUGGGCGUUAAGUUGCAGGGUAUAGACCCGAAACCCGGUGAUCUAGCCAUGGGCAGGUUGAAGGUUGGGUAACACUAACUGGAGGACCGAACCGACUAAUGUUGAAAAAUUAGCGGAUGACCUGUGGCUGGGGGUGAAAGGCCAAUCAAACCGGGAGAUAGCUGGUUCUCCCCGAAAGCUAUUUAGGUAGCGCCUCGUGAAUUCAUCUCCGGGGGUAGAGCACUGUUUCGGCUAGGGGGCCAUCCCGGCUUACCAACCCGAUGCAAACUGCGAAUACCGGAGAAUGUUAUCACGGGAGACACACGGCGGGUGCUAACGUCCGUCGUGAAGAGGGAAACAACCCAGACCGCCAGCUAAGGUCCCAAAGUCAUGGUUAAGUGGGAAACGAUGUGGGAAGGCCCAGACAGCCAGGAUGUUGGCUUAGAAGCAGCCAUCAUUUAAAGAAAGCGUAAUAGCUCACUGGUCGAGUCGGCCUGCGCGGAAGAUGUAACGGGGCUAAACCAUGCACCGAAGCUGCGGCAGCGAACGUAUCACCCAAGACAACUUUACGGAGUUGACGAUUGACGGAGCGAAGCGACGUCAAAGCGUUCAUUAAAGUCGAGUUGGCUUAGGGAUACGUUCGUUGGGUAGGGGAGCGUUCUGUAAGCCUGUGAAGGUGGCCUGUGAGGGUUGCUGGAGGUAUCAGAAGUGCGAAUGCUGACAUAAGUAACGAUAAAGCGGGUGAAAAGCCCGCUCGCCGGAAGACCAAGGGUUCCUGUCCAACGUUAAUCGGGGCAGGGUGAGUCGACCCCUAAGGCGAGGCCGAAAGGCGUAGUCGAUGGGAAACGGGUUAAUAUUCCCGUACUUGGUGUUACUGCGAAGGGGGGACGGAGAAGGCUAUGUUGGCCGGGCGACGGUUGUCCCGGUUUAAGCGUGUAGGUGUGUGUUCCAGGUAAAUCCGGUUCACUUUAACACUGAGGCGUGAUGACGAGGCACUACGGUGCUGAAGCAACAAAUGCCCUGCUUCCAGGAAAAGCCUCUAAGCAUCAGGUAACAUCAAAUCGUACCCCAAACCGACACAGGUGGUCAGGUAGAGAAUACCAAGGCGCUUGAGAGAACUCGGGUGAAGGAACUAGGCAAAAUGGUGCCGUAACUUCGGGAGAAGGCACGCUGACACGUAGGUGAAGUGAUUUACUCAUGGAGCUGAAGUCAGUCGAAGAUACCAGCUGGCUGCAACUGUUUAUUAAAAACACAGCACUGUGCAAACACGAAAGUGGACGUAUACGGUGUGACGCCUGCCCGGUGCCGGAAGGUUAAUUGAUGGGGUCAGCGCAAGCGAAGCUCCUGAUCGAAGCCCCGGUAAACGGCGGCCGUAACUAUAACGGUCCUAAGGUAGCGAAAUUCCUUGUCGGGUAAGUUCCGACCUGCACGAAUGGCGUAAUGAUGGCCAGGCUGUCUCCACCCGAGACUCAGUGAAAUUGAACUCGCUGUGAAGAUGCAGUGUACCCGCGGCAAGACGGAAAGACCCCGUGAACCUUUACUAUAGCUUGACACUGAACAUUGAGCCUUGAUGUGUAGGAUAGGUGGGAGGCUUUGAAGUGUGGACGCCAGUCUGCAUGGAGCCGACCUUGAAAUACCACCCUUUAAUGUUUGAUGUUCUAACGUGGACCCGUUACCCGGGUUGCGGACAGUGUCUGGUGGGUAGUUUGACUGGGGCGGUCUCCUCCUAAAGAGUAACGGAGGAGCACGAAGGUUGGCUAAUCCUGGUCGGACAUCAGGAGGUUAGUGCAAUGGCAUAAGCCAGCUUGACUGCGAGCGUGACGGCGCGAGCAGGUGCGAAAGCAGGUCAUAGUGAUCCGGUGGUUCUGAAUGGAAGGGCCAUCGCUCAACGGAUAAAAGGUACUCCGGGGAUAACAGGCUGAUACCGCCCAAGAGUUCAUAUCGACGGCGGUGUUUGGCACCUCGAUGUCGGCUCAUCACAUCCUGGGGCUGAAGUAGGUCCCAAGGGUAUGGCUGUUCGCCAUUUAAAGUGGUACGCGAGCUGGGUUUAGAACGUCGUGAGACAGUUCGGUCCCUAUCUGCCGUGGGCGCUGGAGAACUGAGGGGGGCUGCUCCUAGUACGAGAGGACCGGAGUGGACGCAUCACUGGUGUUCGGGUUGUCAUGCCAAUGGCACUGCCCGGUAGCUAAAUGCGGAAGAGAUAAGUGCUGAAAGCAUCUAAGCACGAAACUUGCCCCGAGAUGAGUUCUCCCUGAGACUUUAGGUCUCCUGAAGGAACGUUGAAGACGACGACGUUGAUAGGCCGGGUGUGUAAGCGCAGCGAUGCGUUGAGCUAACCGGUACUAAUGAACCGUGAGGCUUAACCUU